rnacentral:lncRNA from 1 species
CACACUCCAUCCUCCGGAAACAUUCUAUACCUAAAUUACAUUACAAGGUAACAGCCAUAAUUUACAAAGCUGUCAAAAUCUGGCGGUUUAUAAUCAAAAGCUGCUAACUAACAGGCUGUACUCUACUUCUACAUUUCUCAGACCAAUAUUCAAACUUCUUUGACUAAACAGGCAAUGGAACUUGGGAUAACUCGUAUAUACAAGCACAAUGUAGGAUUUCCAUGUUUUCAGUUAGAUUGGAGUUCUAUGAUUAUAUCAUUAUGUAGUCACUUCGGAUCAAGGGCCGUAAGGUGCAGCUCGACAAAUUAACCGCAAUAUAACUAGGGAUCAACAUUAUAUAUGUUCCAGCAAUCGAGUAUCCAUGGUGGAGCCAUUGAAUCAUCCAUGGUGCGCAUCCCAACGGCCAGGUCCACUCAUACCUCAAACCCAAUGACGCCGUGCCUUGAACUGGAUGAUAAAAACAAUAAGGGCAAAACAUCAUUAGAGAUUUAGAGAUAACUGCACUUGGCACAAGUAUACAGCAACAUGGAACCAAUCGCGAUAGUUCAUCAUUGCUGCAAUGCAUGUAAGAUGCGUAUAAAUAUUUAUGGCAUGGUUUGCUGUUGCUGUUCCUAAAGGGGUCCUGUAGAUUCCUUGCAUAUUUUUUUCCUGGGAAGGUUUGCAUUUGAUUGUAUCCUGUCAAGAGAACACGGAUGAGAAUAUACUAGUAUGAAACUAAGUUCGUUCCACAUGAACAUUGCAAAUGGAGGCGCAAAACCAAGUUGUUCCAAAUGAACAUUGUAAAUAGAGGUGCGACUGAUCAGCGAACCGGGGAACUAGACUCAAAUGUCCUUGCAAUACUGCAAACUAAGCAGAGAACAGCAGUUGAAAGUAACAUGGACCAGUUGGUGAGCUACUGAACAACAGGUGCAUGCACAACUAUAAUUUCUUCUUCAUAUCGAACUGCAGUGCAGUCUCGUUUUGUUCUUCAGAAAAGGAUGGUGCUCUGGUUGAGCCUUUGUGAAGCUGUGGUUUACCAUUCAGCAAUGCAUCUUUUUUUUUUUUAGCGUAGCUGCACUGAGUUAGCAUAUCUAUUGUUUUUUCUUGAAAAAUAAUGUCAUUUUGUUCACUUGGUAGACGAUUAGUGGUUCAGGGGUGAAUUUGCCCUGUGCCUAAAUUGAGUUACAAGGUAACAGUAUUGAGCAAGAAAGAGUAACUUUUUCUCUUCAGCAACUAAUUAUUACGAAUGCGCUAUGCAUUGAGAAGGUAAGCCAUACCAAGCAAAGCAGUCAAUCGCCCAGGCAAUGUGUUCAAAUGUUGGUUCAGCUUGUUCAAACACACUCCAUCCUCCGGAAACAUUCUAUACCUAAAUUACAUUACAAGGUAACAGCCACAAUUUACAAGCUGUCAAAAUCUGGCGGUUUAUGAGCAAAAGCUGCUAACUAACAG